rnacentral:lncRNA from 1 species
GACGUCGCCUUCUCCACCACUCUUUGCGGUUCAUCCUUCUUCUCCGCGCAGUACUGCAAACGGCGGAAGAGGGGGGGACGUACAUGAUUAAACAAGUUGGUAACGUAAUACGGAGUCGAUCAUCUUCUUCCCUUCUCGCUACACCAUCAGAUCUAUCACAUCUUUUUCCGUGGAAGGUAUCAGGUAACCAGAUCAGAUGGAUCAACGGAUUCAAACUAAAAUCAUAUCUCAUGCAACUAAGAUGAGAGCAGAAUCCAGCAUCAAAUCCCAUCCCAAACAACUACUGUGCGCGGUGGUACCCCUUCAUCAGAUCUUGCAAGAUGGAACCACGCAGCAGGCGGCGGAAACUUACC